CCCGGGAUAGUGUCUGCAGCAGCAAUGGGAACAGUGUUCCUGCUGUAAAAAAAGUGCUCGAAAGCUGUUCCCACGCGUUCCUGCAGGACUCGAGCCCUAAUAUUAUAGUUAUUUUUCAUGUCCAUUAUGCUGAAAAGAAGAUGAGCUAACCAAAAGUCAAAGAGUAAAGUAUUGCCAUGCUGUACAAAACGCUAUACAAGAAUUGAAUUUAGUGGUCAGUUAAAUACUAUAUUCAGGUUUCAGUACUUGUUUCCACAUUGAUCAACUUUACCAGUUGUUUUAUAUUGUCUAUAUAUAGUCUAUAUAUAGUGCACUGGGGCCCUCCCUACACAACCACUCGCAGGAAUAAACAUGUACAUUAUCAAUAAAAUUACUCUUAUACUUACUGGUACCUCCAACAAAAUCAGUCUUAAAACAUUAAAAACCAUGCUGUACAGCAGAGAUUAAUCCACACAAAUGGUUAGUAUGUAGCAGGGGGAAACUGCUGACAUGGACAAAAUUUUAGAAAAUAUUUAUUAUAACUUUACGGCUUCAGAAAACAGUGUGUCGAUUUUGUCUUGCUUAUGUACAAUUAGUACGUGUACGUUGUUUUCGUCAAGGUCAAAAUAUGUAUUUGCGACAGCAAUAUUGCAUCUACAGAAAACACCUGAUAAUGAGGUGAUUAGUCCACAUAAACAUUUUAAUAAAGAGAGUUUGAGGGUUCUGAUCAAAUUACAUGGAUAAUAUACUGAUAGUUGGCAAGCCUAUGGAGCCCCUAUGCACGGGAGACCCCCGGGCAACUUCCCAGCUUGCCCAUACGUUAAGACAGCACUGGUCUAUAUUUUCAUCACAAUAUUGUCCGUGCAGACCACACUCUGUAGUAUUGCUUAUAAGAAAUGACAUGGUCAUUCUAUGCAAACUACAUUCACACUCAGAUUUCGAUGAAGGCAUGUACAUUAUUGCUAAUGGCUCUUAAUAUUCAAUAUCUAAGUUGACUUAUUAAGCUGUCAAAGUUCUGGAGUUUAAGACAAUUCUAAAGUACAUGUUCCUUCAGAACACCAAGCAGUGGAUAAAGACAGCAUAAUCUGUCUUUCAUCUCAGUCAUCUUAAUAAGGCAUUUAGACAUUUGAACUUAAUUUUGCUUUACACAGACAUAAAUUAGCUGUAAAUGUUCUCGGGAUUUGAAGAAAUAGUCCAAGUGCCUUUUGGUUAGAUUACUUUUACUGCUACAUGCCCCAAGGUAAUGUUUUUAUUUGUACAAGGUUCGCUCUGCUGGCGUACACUGAUAAAAGUUUAUUGCAUUCAGAUAUAUGAUAUAUUGUUUUUGACAAAUAGGAUCAUGUAUUUUCUUUCAUGUCAUUAGUCACUAUUAGUUGAUAUUGGAAACAUAGCAAGUUGAAUUUUUCAUUUAAUAAAACCUAAAAGGUAGAACUAUUGCUUUUGAAAGCAUGUACACCCACCUUUUAUAAGAGGAUGCUGAUCAGUCCAUUAAGUUAAAAAUGACUGUCAUGUUUUUCAAAGAUAGUGUGAACUUUACUUCGAAGCAUCCUUAGAAAAUAAGUUCUGAGAUGCUCUGAGAGUGUAAUACUGGUAUAAAAGCGUGAUUGCUCUGAUUAUUUAUGGCUUUUACAUUCCCCAUAAUUCCUGCAGUUUCCUUACAAAUGCUCACGUGCAAGAUAUUUGAUAAUUUCUAUUUUAAUUUUGUGUACUUGGCCAUUGAAUUGUAAUAGGUG